rnacentral:rRNA from 1 species
UACGUAGGGUGCAAGCGUUGUCCGGAAUUAUUGGGCGUAAAGAGCUCGUAGGCGGUUUGUCGCGUCUGCCGUGAAAGUCCGGGGCUCAACUCCGGAUCUGCGGUGGGUACGGGCAGACUAGAGUGAUGUAGGGGAGACUGGAAUUCCUGGUGUAGCGGUGAAAUGCGCAGAUAUCAGGAGGAACACCGAUGGCGAAGGCAGGUCUCUGGGCAUUAACUGACGCUGAGGGGCGAAAGCGUGGGGAGCGAACGGG